rnacentral:snoRNA from 1 species
UGGAAAGUUGAUUCGCAUUAAUUUUUAAGACAUAAUUAAGUGCUACUUUGCUUUCCUAUAUUAAAAAUGCUUUCUGAUGACUGAAAUAUGUUUAGGGUUUUUUUUCAGACAGAUACGAAGCUUACAAAU